rnacentral:rRNA from 1 species
ACGGGUGCGGAACACGUACGCAACCUUCCUUCAAGCGGGGCAUAGCUUUCGGAAACGAAAAUUAAUACCCCAUAGUAAUAUCUGAGGGCAUCUGAGGAUAUUUAAAGAUUUAUCACUUGAAGAUGGGCGUGCGCCUGAUUAGGUAGUUGGCGGGGUAACGGCCCACCAAGCCUACGAUCAGUACUGGUGUGAGAGCACGACCAGUCACACGGGCACUGAGACACGGGCCCGACUCCUACGGGAGGCAGCAGUAAGGAAUAUUGGUCAAUGGACGCAAGUCUGAACCAGCCAUGCCGCGUGGAGGAUGAAGGUCCUCUGGAUUGUAAACUUCUUUUAUCGGAGAAGAAACCCCCGAGUUCUCUUGGGGUUGACGGUACCCGAUGAAUAAGCACCGGCUAACUCCGUGCCAGCAGCCGCGGUAAUACGGAGGGUGCAAGCGUUAUCCGGAUUCACUGGGUUUAAAGGGAGCGUAGGUGGGCUGGUAAGUCAGUGGUGAAAUCUCCGGGCUUAACUCGGAAACUGCCGUUGAUACUAUCAGUCUUGAAUAUUGUGGAGGUAAGCGGAAUAUGUCAUGUAGCGGUG